CUUAAGCAUAUCAAUAAGCGGAGGAAAAGAAACUAACAAGGAUUCCCCUAGUAACUGCGAGUGAAGCGGGAAAAGCUCAAAUUUAAAAUCUGGCAGCCUUUGGUUGUCCGAGUUGUAAUCUAGAGAAGUGUUAUCCGCGCUGGACCGUGUACAAGUCUCCUGGAAUGGAGCGUCAUAGAGGGUGAGAAUCCCGUCUUUGACACGGACUGCCAGGGCUUUGUGAUGCGCUCUCAAAGAGUCGAGUUGUUUGGGAAUGCAGCUCAAAAUGGGUGGUAAAUUCCAUCUAAAGCUAAAUAUUGGCGAGAGACCGAUAGCGAACAAGUACCGUGAGGGAAAGAUGAAAAGAACUUUGGAAAGAGAGUUAAACAGUACGUGAAAUUGCUGAAAGGGAAACGCUUGAAGUCAGUCGCGUUGUUUGGGAAUCAACCUUGCUUUUGCUGGGCGUACUUUCCAGAUGACGGGCCAGCAUCAAUUUUGAUCGUUGGAUAAAGGUUGGAGGAAUGUGGCAUCUUCGGAUGUGUUAUAGCCUCUGGUUGCAUACAACGGUUGGGAUUGAGGAACUCAGCACGCCGCAAGGCCGGGUACUUGUACCACGUUCGUGCUUAGGAUGCUGGCAUAAUGGCUUUAAUCGACCCGUCUUGAAACACGGACCAAGGAGUCUAACAUGCCUGCGAGUGUUUGGGGUGG
rnacentral:rRNA from 1 species